rnacentral:rRNA from 1 species
UAAUACGGAGGGGGCUAGCGUUGUUCGGAAUUACUGGGCGUAAAGCGCGCGUAGGCGGUUUGAUAAGUUGAGGGUGAAAGCCCGGGGCUCAACCCCGGAAUUGCCCUCAAAACUGUCAAGCUAGAGUCCGGAAGAGGUGAGCGGAAUUCCCAGUGUAGAGGUGAAAUUCGUAGAUAUUGGGAAGAACACCAGUGGCGAAGGCGGCUCACUGGUCCGGUACUGACGCUGAGGUGCGAAAGUGUGGGGAGCAAACAGGAUUAGAUACCCUGGUAGUCCACGCCGUAAACGAUGAGUGCUAG